AUGCACAGAGAGCUUCCUUGGAUGAGCUACUUGAUAACUUACAAGUACAUUUAGAUGAGUUUGAGAGAUGGGUUACAACUUAAUUUUAAAGAGAUAGGGGGGCCGAAUCUAGUUCAAAUAAGGGAUAAGAUGGAUAUACGCUCUCUCACAGAAAUCCAUAUAGCAGACACUCCUUCAAUCAUACCCCUAAUGGUCUAGAUAUCACCUCCACGCACACCCAGAUAUUCUACUUUCUUCUUAGAGGAUGAUGAGGAGGUCUCGAUAGUUGGGGCCAAAAGAGGUCAUAUAGGAGACUUGCGGGAUCCUAAUAAGCUAUAUGACCAGGGUGUUAAAAAGGCCAGAUAUUAAUCGAUAGAUACUACAGUCACUGAGAGGUAGAGGUAUUAUAUGAUAGUAGUGGGUGUAUCUUUUAGUAGUACGCCACUGCCACCACCGC
rnacentral:lncRNA from 1 species